rnacentral:rRNA from 1 species
GAUGAACGCUGGCGGCGUGCUUAACACAUGCAAGUCGAACGAAGCACUCUAUUUGAUUUUCUUCGGAAAUGAAGAUUUUGUGACUGAGUGGCGGACGGGUGAGUAACGCGUGGGUAACCUGCCUCAUACAGGGGGAUAACAGUUGGAAACGACUGCUAAUACCGCAUAAGCGCACAGGAUCGCAUGAUCCGGUGUGAAAAACUCCGGUGGUAUGAGAUGGACCCGCGUCUGAUUAGCCAGUUGGCAGGGUAACGGCCUACCAAAGCGACGAUCAGUAGCCGACCUGAGAGGGUGACCGGCCACAUUGGGACUGAGACACGGCCCAAACUCCUACGGGAGGCAGCAGUGGGGAAUAUUGCACAAUGGGGGAAACCCUGAUGCAGCGACGCCGCGUGAGCGAAGAAGUAUUUCGGUAUGUAAAGCUCUAUCAGCAGGGAAGAAGAAUGACGGUACCUGACUAAGAAGCACCGGCUAAAUACGUGCCAGCAGCCGCGGUAAUACGUAUGGUGCAAGCGUUAUCCGGAU